AUAUCAAUAAGCGGAGGAAAAGAAACUAACAAGGAUCCCCUUAGUAACGGCGAGUGAAGCGGGGUGAGCUCAAAUUUAAAAUCUGGCUGGUUUACUAGCCCGAGUUGUAGUUUACAGAAGCGUUUUCGAUGGCAGCCUGGGUAUAAAUCUCUUGGAAUAGGUAGUCAUA
rnacentral:rRNA from 1 species